CUCGGCGACAGCAGUCAAGGCUUCGCGAACAGUAUAUUUUUCUGUAUAUCAAAUAAACGGGUUUACGAAUAUUGGAAGUAUACUUUAGCAAAUAUUCUCCCAGACUUUUUGUGCUACAACCCGGAUUCUGAAGAUAGUGAACGAACGCCUAUAAUUUACAGUUUAAAUGUAGACAAUAGAUGAAGCAGGGAAGAGCUUGAACGCUUUGGUUUAAACUCCAGGAUGCUGUGAGUAUAUAUCACGCUGUACGAUACAUCCUGGCCAUCUGUUAGAAGAUUGCAGACAUUUCAUGGGAGUGCACUUUUCUUUGGCCACCGAAAUUAAUCAAAAAUUGUGCUAGAAAAAAUAAUUCACAUUAUCCUCUGUUUAAGAAAAUCCACCUUUGGAUAUAUGAUAAAACACUAUACAGGGUGUAUCAAAAUAAACGC